UUUCUCUUUGUAAAAAUAUACCAAUCAGAAAAGUUUUAGUAAAAUUCAAGAACCAUAGAAACAUAUCAAUCAGAAAAGUUGGAUAAUGAGUUCAGAUGAUAGUAGAGUAAUGGAGGCAAGAGUGCAGUUUGUGAAAUCCCGUAUUCAGCCAGUUAUUGAAGACAUGGACAAGAAAAUCAAGCAUCUGGAACUAUCACUUGCAACUAUGAAUGGCGAGAUGAAACUCAAAUCCCUUACUCAACCCAUUACUGAAUACGUUGACAACGAAAUCAAGCAUCUGGAACUAUUAAUUGCAAUCAUAAAUACCAAGAUAAAACUUCAUACUGCACAUCGAUUUUUUUUUCCAGAAGUUGGAACAAUUUGUCAUGACUCGACUAAAUAUCACACCUCAAGAUAUGCUAAACGAAGAAAUUAAGAUUGAUGUUGAUGUUGAUGGUGAUAGUGAUGGCGAUGGUGAUGAUGAUCAAGACAAGACACGAAGCAGACGUCUUGGUUUCUGUUUUGAAUAAAAUUCGCAAGUUGAUGCGUCUAACCACUAGUACACCGGAGGUGAAGGUUGAACAUCUCAAAGAAGAAAAAGAAUAUAAUACUAACUAGUUAGGAUUUUUAUAUACUCAACUUUUCUCUACUAAUUAUAAUAUUACACUUCUUCAAUAAUAUUUACAUUCUCAAUGUUAUUUACAUAUUUCAAUUAGAUAAGUAGUACGAAAAUUCUGCAUUCAUAUUUGAUUUUUGUUUUACUUAUGCCGAUUCCAAACCUACUCCUACUCCUCAAAGUCAAAACCCUCCUCUUCUCUUUGUUUACAUUACAAAGUAUAUGAAUUGGAGAGGGAAGAUUGUCGCGUGCUCACUGCAGGUUGCGUACGGAGGAGCAGACUGCAGGUUUCCGUUGCAGCCUUGUUCCUCCACGCGCUGGAGAGGGAAGGGGAGCGAGAGGAGGGAGAGACGCGGGGGGAGAGGUCGCGUGAGGGUUUCCAUCUUCUGGGUUCUUUGUUGGGGUCGCGUUUUGCUGGAAUUGUGGCGUCUGUUUCUUCUGGGUUUUGUUUGCUGUUCUGGGAAUCGAGGUGAGGGAAAGGGGAAGGAGGGGGAAUUGGGUCGGGUCGGGUAGGAUAAAUGGGUUUAUUGGGUCGGGUAUUGGAUUGGAAAGGGAGGUGGGAAGUGUUGGGCCGAAUUGGAUGGGUUGUUUAGCUAGAAAAUGGAGGGGAUUUGGAUUAAAGUGGGCUGAUAAUUAAAUUUGGAAAAGAAUUGGGCCUGGAUGUUGAGGAGUAAGGUGGGCUGAAAUUGGGAGUGGACGAAUUAAUUAAAAAUGGGGAAGGGAACUUGGUUAGUUUAACAAAUAAUCAUUUAAAAUGAUGAAUUUGGUCAAAACCUAGAUAAAACGAAUUCGUAUUAAUUAAUCAACGAGUUUCUUUAUUUAGUAAUAGGGUUAUUAACAUUGUAAAAAAAA